GAUGAACGCUGGCGGCGUGCCUAAUACAUGCAAGUCGAGCGAACAGACGAGAGUGCUUGCACUCUCUGACGUUAGCGGCGGACGGGCGAGUAACACGUGGGGAACCUACCUAUAAGACUGGGAUAACUUCGGGAAACCGGAGCUAAUACCGGAUAAUAUUUAGCUUCGCAUGAAGCAAUAGUGAAAGACGGUUCUGGUGUCUAUUAUAGAUGGACCCGCGGUGUAUUAGCUAGUUGGUGAGGUAACGGCUGACCAAGGCAACGAUACAUAGCCGACCUGAGAGGGUGAUCGGCCACACUGGGACUGAGACACGGCCCAGACUCCUACGGGAGGCAGCAGUAGGGAAUCUUCCGCGAUGGACGAAAGUCUGACGGAGCAAUGCCGCGUGAGUGAAGAAGGUUUUCGGAUCUUAGAACUCUGUUGUACGGGAAGAACAAGUGCGUUAGUAACUGAACGUACCUUGACGGUACCUUACCAGAAAGCCACGGCUAACUACGUG
rnacentral:rRNA from 1 species